AGUUUUGCACAGUGGCAGUAUUGUAGCCAGUGAAGUUUAUCCGAGGUACAAUUAUUGCUAGUUAUUGCUAAUUAAAAUACUUUUAAAUUUCCAAUAUAAUUUUUCUGUGAUCCAUAAAUU
rnacentral:snRNA from 1 species